UGCGCACUCACUAGCGAUCUCUGCAGACGACUGUGGCACUGCCAUGUUGCUGCUGCAUCCUUCUUUGUCUCUACGUCAUCCGGGCCCAUCUACGGUUCUAGGCGAUGCCCGCCUUCUGCCAAAGCCGCGCGACCCGGUUUCUGGACGCUUCGGAGCACAGCUGGAAGGAGGCGUGGGAGGCCAGGAGGGGGAGGAUACUUUCCCCCUGUGCAGCAGAGAUGGUCCAGGAUGCAGAGUGACCACUGCCAGUACUGACCUCCAGAGCUGCUGUCAGGAGAUUGCUUCAUGAGACUUGUGCUUCUGCAGUUCCUGGUGGGACUGGGACCCACACUGUCCAGUGUCCAAGCAUCCGUGUUCCUUGUCUGCUGUGGGAGCAGGAAUUGUCUCAGACCUUGCACAGUUCAUGAAAACCACCUCAUUCCAAGCAGAAGCCCAUUUCAGCAAACCCUGGGGGCUCAAAAGGUUUUAGCACCGUGCUGCUUUCGGGACAAGAACCUUGCUGUGCAUCAGGACCUGCCCCCUUUGAAAUCUGAAUGAAAAACAGAAAAAUAAAAUGGGAUCUGGAUAGUGGCGCGCCGCCUGGUUGAGUACAGAUGUUAUAAUGCACAAGGACCCGGUUCAAGCCCCCCAGUCCCCACCUGCAGGGGGAAAGCUUUAUGAGUGGUGAAGUAGGGUUACAGGUGUCUCUCCCUCUAUCUCCCCCUUCUCUCAAUUUCUGGCUGUCUCUAUCCAGUAAAGAAACGAUAAUAAGGGGUUGGGUGGUAGCACAGCAGCACAUGGCGCACAGUGCAACAAGGACCAGCAUAAUCAUCCUGGUUCGAGCCCCUGGCUCCCUACCUUCACAAGCAGGUCUGCAGGUGUCUAUCUCUUUCCCUUUCUGUCUUCCCUUCCUCUCUAUUUUCUCUCUGUCCUAUCCAACAACGAUGACAUCAGUAAUAAUAACCACAGCAAUAAAAAAAAAGGGACAACAAAAGGGAAAAAUGGCUUCCAGGAACAGUGGGUUCAUGGUGUCAACACCGAGCCCCAGCAAUAACCCUGGAGGCAAAUAAUGUUAAUAAAAAAUUUAA